rnacentral:lncRNA from 1 species
GGGCAGCCUUGCUCUCGCUCCACUGAAACUAUAAAGGGACCUGCGGGGAAAGCAGAGUAAAUACAGAUGCUCUGGUUCUGCGGAGCAGCCCUCGGGACUUGAGCUUAGUGCUUUCUGGUUCCUUAGUCCCAGUUUGGGGACCAUGGCUCAUCAUUCUUAACAUCCUCGAAGCAGUUGCAAAAAGAUAAAAAGAUGAAGGGGAGCCCAAAGCUUCCGACAGAAUUCAUAACAGAAAAUAACUUGAUUAAAGCCUGACUCUUUUAAAAGGUAUGUAUGAAAUCUAGAUUUACAUUUUUGCCAGCAUACAUUUUUACUGUUGGUGCAAAGAGAAUCAGCUUUCCGGAAAUGUACUGUUAAAUAGUCCUGGCCCAACACAGCAGCUUCUCCUACUCUGGCCUUUCUAAGUUGGAGUGGCUGCAGUGAAUGUAGUGAAUGUACAAAUUGAUUGUACAAACAGUUGUGAGACGUACCGGGUCUGAACAGUGAUGGACUACAUCCCGAAGAUGAUGACCUGAAGACAGAUACAGCGUCUGAGAGAAGACCAUUGUGUUUAAGUGAAGUUUAAGUCUUGUUUGUUACGCAGUUCUUUCUCAUAGCAUGUCAUGGUACCUCUUUCUGCAAUGAAACCUGACCAGUGAGAUGCCAGCCUGCCUGUGAAGAUCCUGCAGCAGAAGUGCAUGUGAGUGGUGCUCUGUUUUGUUUUCUGCUGAGCUUACUGUCGUUGGUCUAGUCUAUGAUGAUCCUAUCCCGAACCUGAAUUCCUGUUGAAAGACCAUACUUACGGAUCUGGCUUCUGAGAUGGACCAUUGCAAAGGACUAUUGUGUUCUUCUUUAAUGUUGGCAGUAAUGUGAUGCCUGUUUUUUGUUUGUUUGUUUGUUUGUUUUGUUUUUAUAUUUUAGGACCAGUGACACUAGACUUCUUGCAAAUGAACACUAGAUAUGGUAACAUCCAGAAAAGGCAGAGACAAGAAAAUUCACAGUCUGAGUACUGGGGUGUUUGAGAUGGGGUCUAUCUACAUGUCUCUAGCUGUCCCUAUGUAGUGAACGGGACAGCAUCUGGUAUGACCUGCAGAGUUGAUUCCUGUAUGUUUUUUUGUGGGCUGUAUGUAAAUGGAUUGUUUUUGACAAUCCAUUCGACCAUGUUCUCUGCUGUGACAGUCAUGGGGUCAUGGGUGAGCUGGUGACAGACACACCUGUACAGACUGAGCAGAGUGAAUGCAAUCCUGACUAUAAAGCAGCAGGUCACUAUUUUUGUGAUUGUAAAAUUGGUUAUGAGCCAUUUCCAUAUUCAUCUGACAGUGGUUGCUUGGGAGUGCUGCAAUAAGCAUUCAGUAGCAAAUAUUUCUUCAGGUUUUAUUUUUAAUGCUGAAAAAAAUAAGUUUAUUAUAAUUUAUUUUAUUUGACAAUCUAGGAAUUUUGGGCCCAUCAGCAGUUCCAGUGCAAUUUUGGAUGCAAUUGGGAAUUCAGGAAUUUCAAUGGAGCUGUUAGCAUAGGGGACCUUAUAGGUCAAAUUCAUGCACACUUUCAAUAGCACGUGUGAGGGGAUCUCUCUAAAAUUGACCUCGUUGGUUCCAUUCUCCGCAAACUAACCUGGACUGCUCCACAUGGCCUUUCUUGUUCCUGAUGUUGAUGCAUGUUCUCCUUUUACAAUAAAUUCAUGACCAUUAGAAGACAAUGAUUUCACAUACAUAGCAUCAGGGCCUUCACAGCCGCUGUAGGCUUUCUCCACUCCAUCCAUUAUGUUCUUAUAAAAUCCUGUUUGAUCCCAGAGGAACUUUAGUAGUUUCCUGUCCAGGCCUAGACUCGGCCUGCUUGUACCUUGCCUCCGAGGAAGUGCUUUUCAGGAUUUUUGUGUCAGCAGACUGAUUAACCAGAGUGUCCUGUUACAUGUUCCACUUCCAUGGUAAUUGAGUUUUCAAAGUUGGUGAGCUACGUGCACUAAUGCCAAUCUCCUUAUUAGGACGAUUGUGCACAUGAUCAGGUUUCCCUGUGAAAUUGUCACACAAUGCCUUGAUUACAUUUGUCCAGCCCUCCCAAGUGCUAAAACUAAGUGGGCUGUCAGUGAUAGCUUUCACUUCUAAGUUCUUACUGGUGCAUACUUCCAUUUUCCUUUGAGGUAACUGGCAAGGGUUGAACUUCCUUCGUUUUUUUGAGACAGUGUCUCAAAAUUGACCUGGUACUCAACUAUAGAGAUGGCUGGCCUCAGUUUAUAGAUUAAGGAAAAGGCUGCCAUGCCUAACCUUAGAAUACUCUGCUACUAAAUUGCCUGUCGUCAGUUUGUUACCAGCCUUUACAAAGUAGUGCCAGUGUUCCUGGUUGGGAAUAAAUUUUUGGUUUUUGUGGUUUGAAAUUCUUACACUAGUCCAGAGUGCCCUUGUCCAAACUUUGUACUGAAAGUGUUUUAACACUUAGCCUUUUUCUUUUUUCUUAGUUCUGUUUUGUUUUUGUCCAAGAACUCUGUAGAUCAGGCUGCCCUUGAACUCAGAGAUUCCCCCACCUCCCAAAUGCUGGGAUUAAAAGCAUGUGUCACCACAGCUCAGCCGUCUGCCUAGUUUAUCACUAAUUCAAGGUCUACAGUUUUCAUAAUUAGUGGGAAGAAUCUACUUGGGUUUUUGUUUCCCCCUGUAAUUAAGUUUUCCUGGUAUCAUUGAUGAGAUGGACUUAAUUUCUUCACAGGAAACCUAGCUACCUUUGAAAAAUGAGUUGGCUGUAACUAUGUAGUUCUUUAUGGGUUCUCUGUACCAUGUUUGGGUGCAGUUGAAACACGUCUAGUUGGUAAUCUCUAGCUUAUGUUUACACUGACAGUCACGAUCCCUUGGUUCCAUGUGUUAUUUACUUAUUCUUAUUUCUUUAGGAUGUUAAAAAAGUUUUCAUAGCUGGGCAUGGUUGCUCACACCUUUAAUCCCAGCACUCAGCAGUCAGCAGAGGCAGUUGGAUCUCUGAUUUCCAAGGCCAAUCGCCAGAGGCAGAGGCAGGCGGAUUUCUGAGUUCGAGGCCAGCCUGGUCUACAAAGUGAGUUCCAGGACAGCCAGGACUAUACAGAGAAAACUUGUCUCAAAAAACAAAAACAAAAGUUUUCAUUUGAUACUCUGCCUUUUUUUUCUUUUUUGGCUUUGUGUUUCUAUGCAUGUUGACUUCUGCAAACUCUAGCUCUGCUUUUGCUGUAUCACAUGUUAUUUGUUGUCUCCUUUUUAAUUGAAGAAAUAGGAAUUUCUCUUUAGUUUCUUGCUUAAUUCACUGGCUAUUCAAGAGUAACUGAAUUUCCAUGGAAAAUAGGGAAACAACUCGAGUCUAAGGCAGGAAGAUCACUUGAGCCCAGUCAAAGGUUCAUUGAUUGAUAAAUCUCACAGACCCAAAACAGGGUGAGAUGCUGUAAAUUACUUCGAAACAAAACUGGUAUGGCCCACAUCUACACCUUUAGCCUCAGCGAGGCAGUUGGAUCUCUGAUUUCCAAGGCCAAUCUCCAGAGCAAGUUUCAGGACAGGGCUACACAGAGACACAUUGCAGGGGUUGUCUAAGAAGAAAUGUAAGGCUUGCUAGCCUUUUACCCAGGCUGACAAAGUUAAAGGCAAGGCAGUGUUGGGAAAUGAUCUGACCUCUUUCUGCAGUCUUUUCUGCUUAUUUCCUUGCCUUCUAAUGGGUCUUUCAAUAUAUUUACUUGAUAUAGUCCAAGUUAUUAUGUAUUUUAUAUAUUAACAAGUACUAGUCUCCCAAGGAGCCCAGAGAUAAGCCAUGUCUCUAUUCUCUUUGUAAAUACAGGUACAGGAUGCUGAAGAAAACCAAAAGCAACGUAAUAUAAAUAAUAUAAAUAGAAUAUAAAUA